GACGAACGCUGGCGGCGUGCUUAACACAUGCAAGUCGAACGGAAAGGCCCUGCUUUUGUGGGGUGCUCGAGUGGCGAACGGGUGAGUAACACGUGAGUAACCUGCCCUUGACUUUGGGAUAACUUCAGGAAACUGGGGCUAAUACCGGAUAGGAGCUCCUGCUGCAUGGUGGGGGUUGGAAAGUUUCGGCGGUUGGGGAUGGACUCGCGGCUUAUCAGCUUGUUGGUGGGGUAGUGGCUUACCAAGGCUUUGACGGGUAGCCGGCCUGAGAGGGUGACCGGACAAAUUGGGACUGAGAUACGGCCCAGACUCCUACGGGAGGCAGCAGUGGGGAAUAUUGCACAAUGGGCGGAAGCCAGAUGCAGCAACGCCGCGUGGGGGAUGACGGCCUUCGGGUUGGAAACCGCUUUCGCCUGUGACGAAGCGUGAGUGACGGUAAUGGGUAAAGAAGCACCGGCUAACUACGUG
rnacentral:rRNA from 1 species